rnacentral:lncRNA from 1 species
GACCCUCUUAACCUCUCUCUGCACUGUCAUAUCCUUUGUGGCAUUUGGGUUGUAGCUCACAAGCCUUCCCUGAUGACACCAUUAUUUACAUGUGUUUGGGUUUGGUUUUCGAGAUGAGGUCUCUCGCUCUGUAGUUCAGGCUGGCCUUGCUUGCACUCACUGUAUAGCCCAGGCCGGCUUUGCACUUGUAGCAAUCCUUCUGCUUCAAGUUCUGGGAUUACAGGUGUGGAAAAUCAUUAAAAAUCAACAACCCCUACACAUAAUCUUGUUUUUUGUUUUUUUUCUUCAAAGCGCUUAGUGCUAUUAUGCAGAAAGUUAGUCAUUAGCAGGCCUGGAGACAGGCGACUGGGCUAACUGAAAAGUGAAGACCUGCCUUGGCUUUCGAAUUAUUAGCUGUAGAUAAAAUCCAUGGAAGUUUGUGGUUUCAAACUUUCUCUUAGAGUCUGUGUCAGCCUCCAAGUGUGCUGAUCAAGUCCAGACCACAGGUAAAGGGUUAGAAAAACCUAAAGGCUUCAAAACCAACUAAAUGGAGACAUUCACCUAAGGAGUAAACAGGCACUCACUUCUCUAUGAAGCAGGUCAACAGGGCCCAUUUUAUCUGUACAGAAACAAUGACCUCUGAGGACAUAAAGGACAGUCCUUGGAGGACUCAGUCAAUCACAUAAAUGUAAUCUCAAGGUUCAUUCAGUGCCACUGCCAUUUUGGCAUCUGCCCACCUUUAUGCUUGAAGGUGCAUUCUUUCUUGCUCUCUGAAAAUCUAUCAUUUUGCAAUAAACCCUACCUAUACUCUAUAUGAUAGUCUACGUGUCUUAUUUAAAAUCUUUCAUCAAAGACACACAGAAUCAAGGUGUGUGGCCAGUUCUUC